UGGGGAAUAUUGCGCAAUGGGCGAAAGCCUGACGCAGCGACGCCGCGUGAGGGAUGAAGGUUUUCGGAUCGUAAACCUCUGUCAGAAGGGAAGAAACCGCACUGUGCUAAUCAGCAGUGCCUUGACGGUACCUUCAAAGGAAGCACCGGCUAACUCCGUGCCAGCAGCCGCGGUAAUACGGAGGGUGCAAGCGUUAAUGGGAAUUACUGGGCGUAAAGCGCACGUAGGCUGCUUUGUAAGUCAGGGGUGAAAUCCCACGGCUCAACCGUGGAACUGCCUUUGAUACUGCUUAGCUUGAAUCCGGGAGAGGGUGGCGGAAUUCCAGGUGUAGAAGUGAAAUCCGUAGAUAUCUGGAGGAACAUCAGUGGCGAAGGCGGCCACCUGGACCGGUAUUGACGCUGAGGUGCGAAAGCGUGGGGAGCAAACAGG
rnacentral:rRNA from 1 species